GACGAACGCUGGCGGCGUGCUUAACACAUGCAAGUCGAGCGGGGUCCAUCCGGUAGCAAUACCGGUGAAGACCUAGCGGCGAACGGGUGAGUAACACGUGAGCAACCUGCCCCGAAGUUUGGGAUAACACCGGGAAACCGGUGCUAAUACCAAAUGCCUUCACCGAGUCACCUGGCUUGGUGAAGAAAGAUUUAUCGCUUCGGGAGGGGCUCGCGGCCUAUCAGCUUGUUGGUGGGGUAACGGCCCACCAAGGCUUCGACGGGUAGCUGGUCUGAGAGGACGACCAGCCACACUGGGACUGAGACACGGCCCAGACUCCUACGGGAGGCAGCAGUGGGGAAUCUUGCGCAAUGGGCGAAAGCCUGACGCAGCAACGCCGCGUGGGGAUGAAUGCCUUCGGGUUGUAAA
rnacentral:rRNA from 1 species